rnacentral:rRNA from 1 species
AGUGAACGCUGGCGGUAGGCCUAACACAUGCAAGUCGAACGGCAGCACAGUAAGAGCUUGCUCUUACGGGUGGCGAGUGGCGGACGGGUGAGGAAUACAUCGGAAUCUACUUUUUCGUGGGGGAUAACGUAGGGAAACUUACGCUAAUACCGCAUACGACCUACGGGUGAAAGCAGGGGAUCUUCGGACCUUGCGCGAUUGAAUGAGCCGAUGUCGGAUUAGCUAGUUGGCGGGGUAAAGGCCCACCAAGGCGACGAUCCGUAGCUGGUCUGAGAGGAUGAUCAGCCACACUGGAACUGAGACACGGUCCAGACUCCCACGGGAGGCAGCAGUGGGGAAUAUUGGACAAUGGGCGCAAGCCUGAUCCAGCCAUACCGCGUGAGUGAAGAAGGCCUUCGGGUUGUAAAGCCCUGUUGUUGGGAAAGAACAGCAGCAGGUUAAUCCCCCGCUGUUCUGACGGUACCCAAAGAAUAAGCACCGGCUAACUUCGUG